UGUUGUACUAGGUGUCUACACUUGAGCCAGUAGUAAGAUGAGGAACCUGGACUAAAAUUUCCACAUUAAGCCUGUGUAAGGGGAAUAAAAUAAAGUAGUUCCAGGUUUGUAUCACACCCUGACUUCCCACAGAAGCAAAUGUAAAUUCUCUCUGGAAAAAAUCAUGUCCAAUAGAGUCUCAUAGGUUUCCCACAGAUUAGAACCAAGCAAAUAUGAGGAAUAAAAUAAAUGUGUUAUAAUAAAAUAUCAACAAAUUAACAAGGAAAUGAACCACCAUGACUGAGCGUCAGCAGAAAAGACAAAGCCAAGUAAGAUUGGCUUACUCUUUACUCAGGACCUUAGUUACUAAAACUAUCGAGACAUAGAUAUAAAAUAACCAUUUAUAAAAGCUUUAAGGAAAUAAAAAAAUCACAAAAAUGAGCAGGUAAUAAAACACUAUCAAAAGUGACCCAGCAGAUUUUUAAAAAUAACCAAAUAGAACAUUUAGAAAUAUAAAUAUAAUUUUUGGGGAAAAAAGCCUCAAUGACAGGUUAAAUAUUCCAAAAGAGAAAAUUAAUGAACUGGAAGAUCAAUUUGAAGACAUUAUAGAGAGUGUAGCACAAAGAGACAAGUGAGAGAACAUGAAAGAAAAGCUAAGCUUUAUGGAGGGAAGAGUGAAAACUUCUCACUUACCUAAUCAGAUAUCUGGCAGGAGAAAAUAGAGAGAAUGGAAGAGAUAUGGAGAUAACAGAGGGAUAGGAUUCAUAGUGGUAAUGGCUGAAAAUUUUUCCGAAACUGUGACAAGACAUGAAUCCAUGGACAUAGGAAACACAACAUGUAUCACAUAAGAUAAAUAAACCGUCAAAAAUGCAAACACAAGCACACCAAAAGAUGUACAGGAGUGUUAACAGCAACACUGAUUAUUUGAAAAAGCAAAAAUCUUGAAAUAACCUAAAUUCUAACCAUCACCAGUAGAAUAGACAAAUAAGUUGUGCUAUGUUAAUACAAUGGAAAACUACAUGGUGCUAAAUAUGAAUGGAUUAUUGCCACAUGCAGCAAUAUGGGGGUUGAUCCUGCAGUGAAAGAAGCUAGAUACUAAGAAAUGCAUACAAUAUAAUUCCAUUUAUAGAAAUUUCAAAAACCAGCAAACCUAAUCCACGGUGUUAGAAGUCGGAAUAGUGCUUACCUUUGGGGUAAUGAUGGUGGUAUGAAGGGGGCUUCUGGUACAAUAGAAUGUUGCUUUUUUAAAAAAGAAUCUGGGUUGUGAAUAUGCUGGUUCACGAUGUAAUAGCUUAUUAAGUUGUACACUUAUGGUUUGUCAACUUUUUGUUUGUUCUACAUCAAUAAAAAAAUUAAAAACAAAAAUUCUCAACAAGAUACAUUGUAAUGAAAUGAAAGAAUAAUGAAGACAAAGAGAGAAAUCUGAAGAUCCAGAUUUAAAGGAAAAAAGCCAGAGGAAAAAGAUUACCUACAAAGAACAAAAUUUAGACUGAGAGCAGACUUAGCAGCAAUGGUGGAAAUGGAAACCAGAAGACAGGAGAAUCUCUUUAAUGAAUUAAGAGAAAUUAAUGAAUAACCUAGAAAUAUGUGCCUCUACUUUGAAAGAACAAAGGCAAAAAUACUGGCAACAGAUUUUAGAAAAGGAACUUAUGAAGGCAUUGCAUUUAGGGAAGAAGAAAGAUAAUUCUAGAAGGAGGGACUGAGAUGCAAGAAGAAAUAGUGAACAAAUAAAUUGGUAACUGUGUACAUAAAUCAUAAGCACUCUGUAUAAAAUAUAAUUUCUAACUUAUGGAGUAAGAAGAGAGGACAGAGCUAAAAUAGUGGACAAUAAAAUAAAUUGGGAAGAUAUAGUCAGGAUUAAAGGACUCCAAAGCCCUUCUUAUUGAGUGAUAAGAUAGUGAUUAAGUUCAGUCUUUGGUUAGUUAAAUAUGUGUGGUAAAAUUUAAGAGUAACAGCUGAAAAAAUGCAGUAGGCAGUAGAAUGUAUAAUUUCUAAACCAGUAGUGGGGGAAAAUAGAAUAAGAAAAAAAGCCAAAAAAAAAAAAAAAGAAAAA